UUGAACGCUGGCGGCAUGCUUUACAUAUGCAAGUCGAACGGCAGCGCGGGCUUCGGCCUGGCGGCGAGUGGCGAACGGGUGAGUAAUACAUCGGAACGUGCCCAGUAGUGGGGGAUAGCUCGGCGAAAGCCGGAUUAAUACCGCAUACGACCAGAGGGUGAAAGCGGGGGAUCUUCGGACCUCGCGCUAUUGGAGCGGCCGAUGGCAGAUUAGCUAGUUGGUGGGGUAAAGGCCUACCAAGGCGACGAUCUGUAGCUGGUCUGAGAGGACGACCAGCCACACUGGGACUGAGACACGGCCCAGACUCCUACGGGAGGCAGCAGUGGGGAAUUUUGGACAAAGGGCGAAAGCCUGAUCCAGCAAUGCCGCGUGUGUGAUGAAGGCCUUCGGGUUGUAAAGCACUUUUGGCGGGAACGAAAAGGACUGUGCCAAUACCACGGUUCGAUGACGGUACCCGCAGAAUAAGCACCGGCUAACUACGUG
rnacentral:rRNA from 1 species